ensembl:lncRNA
AGGGAGGCUGAGACAGAGGAGAGGAGACAGUCUCCUCCGAGUCCUUUGAAGCAGGAGGGUUACUUAUUUCUUAUUGAUCUCAUCACACCUCGUUUUAUUUAUCGAACUUCAAGCAGCGCGUUAAACUCGAUGGAGUAGUUUAGUUAACUUGAAGCUACUGAAGCAGUUUUACACUUGUCUCUCAGCGGGAAGUGAAACGAUUAGUUCCGUAGCGUUUUAUCAUCCUAUACAGAGCGUCUGGGUCCUACAAGUUUGUAAGAAAUUAGCUGUAUACCUUUUGAACACCGGGAAACGAAGACCAAACACACACCCCUAUGGCAAGGGCACCUCCGAGCCACAAAACUCCUGUGAUACCAAUCUGAUUGAACAUCCAUGAAAUGAACUGGAUUGAAACAAGACUGACCCACCGUCUCACCCCACAACUUGCAGGACCCAAAGAUCCAGCAACCAACAUCUUGGUGUCCCCCACCACAGCACACCUCCAGAGGUCCUGUGUCCACGGCCAGAUGGGUCUGAACUGUUUUGGCGACACCAGGAAGACUAAUAUUAGGCCGCUGGUUUUAAUGUUGUGGCUGAUGGUGUAUAUGCUUAUAGUGUCUGGAUCAGCGGUGCCCCUCAGCUCCUCUGACAUGAGUCUGUUAGUUGUUCUAAAGAACAAAACUAAAGCCUUUGGCGAGGCAGUUUUUAGCUUUUAUGCUCCCAGUCAUUGGAAUAUUCUGUCUGAAGACCCGAGGGCAGAUGACGUGUUGAGAACUUUGAACUUAAAGCAUACGUUUUAUGAAUGACUUUCGAUUAAGUAUGAUUCUAUUCAUUUAUUAUAUUGUUCUUAUGUUGUUAAAUUGUAUUCUGUUUCGUUUUGUUUGCUUGCUUUUACUUUAUUUAAUGGAGUUUUAAUUAUGAUAAUUUUACUUUCAAGUUUUGUCCUUUUAGUAUUUAUCUGUUCCUUUAUAAUGUAACUUUAUUUUAUUGUUGCCUUAUCAGCUCAGUGGUCAUCUGUGAGGCACAUUAAUCUUCACUAAACUGUACGUAUCUACACAAAUAAAGUUUAAAUGAUUGAUUGAUUGAUUGAUUGAUUGAAUACAAACAUACUUUUAAUAUCAGCAUCUGUGCAAAAAUCAUGCCCUUAAUUGGCUGAUGUGAUCCCAGGCCUGUUCUGG